GAUGAACGCUGGCGGCGUGCCUAAUACAUGCAAGUCGAGCGAACAGACGAGGAGCUUGCUCCUCUGACGUUAGCGGCGGACGGGUGAGUAACACGUGGAUAACCUACCUAUAAGACUGGGAUAACUUCGGGAAACCGGAGCUAAUACCGGAUAACAUGUUGAACCGCAUGGUUCAACAGUGAAAGACGGUCUUGCUGUCACUUAUAGACGGAUCCGCGCCGCAUUAGCUAGUUGGUAAGGUAACGGCUUACCAAGGCAACGAUGCGUAGCCGACCUGAGAGGGUGAUCGGCCACACUGGAACUGAGACACGGUCCAGACUCCUACGGGAGGCAGCAGUAGGGAAUCUUCCGCAAUGGGCGAAAGCCUGACGGAGCAACGCCGCGUGAGUGAAGAAGGUCUUCGGAUCGUAAAACUCUGUUAUUAGGGAAGAACAAAUGUGUAAGUAACUAUGCACGUCUUGACGGUACCUAAUCAGAAAGCCACGGCUAACUACGUG
rnacentral:rRNA from 1 species